rnacentral:rRNA from 1 species
UACGUAGGUGGCAAGCGUUGUCCGGAUUUAUUGGGUUUAAAGGGUGCGUAGGCGGCUUUAUAAGUCAGUGCUGAAAUAUCCCGGCUUAACCGGGAGGGUGGCAUUGAUACUGAUGGGCUUGAGUAGAGUUGAGGUUGGCGGAAUUGACGGUGUAGCGGUGAAAUGCUUAGAUAUCGUCAAGAACACCUAUUGCGAAGGCAGCUAACUAAGCUCAAACUGACGCUGAGGCACGAAAGUGUGGGGAUCAAACAGG